rnacentral:rRNA from 1 species
GAUGAACGCUGGCGGCGUGCCUAAUACAUGCAAGUCGAGCGAACAGACGAGGAGCUUGCUCCUCUGACGUUAGCGGCGGACGGGUGAGUAACACGUGGAUAACCUACCUAUAAGACUGGGAUAACUUCGGGAAACCGGAGCUGAUACCGGAUAAUAUAUUGAACCGCAUGGUUCAAUAGUGAAAGACGGUUUUGCUGUCACUUAUAGAUGGAUCCGCGCCGCAUUAGCUAGUUGGUAAGGUAACGGCUUACCAAGGCAACGAUGCGUAGCCGACCUGAGAGGGUGAUCGGCCACACUGGAGCUGAGACACGGUCCAGACUCCUACGGGAGGCAGCAGUAGGGAAUCUUCCGCAAUGGGCGAAAGCCUGACGGAGCAACGCCGCGUGAGUGAUGAAGGUCUUCGGAUCGUAAAACUCUGUUAUUAGGGAAGAACAAAUGUGUAAGUAACUAUGCACGUCUUGACGGUACCUAAUCAGAAAGCCACGGCUAACUACGUG